rnacentral:rRNA from 1 species
CCCGGCACAAGCGGAGGAGCAUGUGGUUUAAUUCGAUGAUACGCGAGGAACCUUACCUGGGCUUGAACGUAUGGUGCAUGAGGGCGAAAGUUCUCUUUCUAGCAAUAGACUUCAUACGAGGUGCUGCAUGGUUGUCGUCAGCUCGUGCCGUGAGGUGUUAGGUUAAGUCCUGCAACGAGCGCAACCCCUAUCUUAGUUGCCAUCAGGUUAAGCUGGGCACUCUAGAGAGACUGCCUGCGCAAGCAGAGAGGAAGGUGGGGAUGACGUCAAGUCCUCAUGGCCCUUAUAGGUGGGGCUACACACGUCAUACAAUGGCCGGUACAAAGGGCAGCCAACCCGCGAGGGGGAGCCAAUCCCAUAAAGCCGGUCGUAGUCCGGAUCGCAGUCUGCAACUCGACUGCGUGAAGUCGGAAUCGCUAGUAAUCGUGGAUCAGCAUGUCACGGUGAAUACGUUCCCGGGUCUU